rnacentral:rRNA from 1 species
UAAUGGGGCAUGCUUACCAUGCAAGUCGAACGGCAGCACGGGUGCUUGCACCUGGUGGCGAGUGGCGAACGGGUGAGUAAUACAUCGGAACAUGUCCUGUAGUGGGGGAUAGCCCGGCGAAAGCCGGAUUAAUACCGCAUACGAUCUCUGGAUGAAAGCGGGGGACCUUCGGGCCUCGCGCUAUAGGGUUGGCCGAUGGCUGAUUAGCUAGUUGGUGGGGUAAAGGCCUACCAAGGCGACGAUCAGUAGCUGGUCUGAGAGGACGACCAGCCACACUGGGACUGAGACACGGCCCAGACUCCUACGGGAGGCAGCAGUGGGGAAUUUUGGACAAUGGGCGAAAGCCUGAUCCAGCAAUGCCGCGUGUGUGAAGAAGGCCUUCGGGUUGUAAAGCACUUUUGUCCGGAAAGAAAUCCUUGGCCCUAAUACGGUCGGGGGAUGACGGUACCGGAAGAAUAAGCACCGGCUAACUACGUGCCAGCAGCGACGGUAAUAA